rnacentral:rRNA from 1 species
AACGAACGCUGGCGGCAGGCCUAACACAUGCAAGUCGAACGGACACAUAAAAGCUUGCUUUUAUGAGGUUAGUGGCAAACGGGUGAGUAAUGCAUGGGAAUCUACCUUAUAGUGAGGAAUAACGUUUGGAAACAGACGCUAAUACCUCAUAAUCCCGAGAGGGCAAAGAUUUAUCGCUAUAAGAUGAGCCCAUGUCAGAUUAGCUAGUUGGUGAGGUAAUGGCUUACCAAGGCUGUGAUCUGUAGCUGGUCUGAGAGGAUGAUCAGCCACACUGGGACUGAGACACGGCCCAGACUCCUACGGGAGGCAGCAGUGAGGAAUAUUGGACAAUGGGCGAAAGCCUGAUCCAGCCAUGCCGCGUGAGUGAAGAAGGCC